AAAACUAUAUUAACAUAGCAAGAAGUUCGACCCUCAAUAGGUUCCAUCAAAACCCUAGACUAUAUUUAGCUACUCAUACUAGUAUUCAUUACAACAAUAUUCAAAUUCAUCACAAAUCGUAAAAACAAAAGGAAGAAAGGAAGAACUCAAUGUUGAAUUAUCCUCCUUGCCUCUUGCCUCUCCUUUUCUUGCACUAAGAUAUGAAAAUCUUCAUAAUCAAUCCUUAGGAGAGCUUGACCUUCUACAGGUUAAGUGAAUUUACCCGCAGACUUCCAAGUUUACCCCUGAAAAUUAAUAUUCCGAAACUGGGUUAGCGCGACCUUCAUUUCAUCUAUUCUUUUUCUCAUCUUCUCGUGUACUCAGUUCCUAGGGGUUUUUCUUGCUUCAAUGUAGCUCCAAUCACAACUUUAAGGCCUCAUACAAGCUCCUCUUCCUGCAACGUGUGAAAUUCAUAAUUAGAACCCAUUUUUCAUCAUUUAACUGUAUUAUAACAUUAAAACAUAAUCAAGUUGGGGCAUAAACAAUCGCCAAAUUACAUAAAUCUAGCCUAUAUCAACACCCCACACGUAAAUCAUUACUAGUCCUCGAGCAAUCCACCACACUCUAUAGAGGUACCUUCACUAAGCAUUAUCCCCCAACGGAUCACACCAAGAACAAAUCACAUAGUUACGCCUAGUAGUGAACAAUCCUAGCCUCAAAAGUCGACUCUCACGUGACGUGCAAUAUUCAUAUUUUCUCAAGCUACUCUACACAGAAGUCAAGACUUGCCUUUCCUUCAUGAAUCACAUGGCCUCACAUUCACACAAGAGAGCAGUUCCACAUAUAAUGAUAUUUAGAAUAAUUAGGAACUUAGAUAGACAAAAUUCGUUCACUUUCAAAAAAGAACAUUCACAUGCCACAAAGAUGCACCAUAGGCUUGCCCGUAGUGUACUACUCUACUAAUCGAGCCCACUCAGUCUAAGAUCAAUAGGACUUCACUUGGUUGUAAUGUAGGCUAAGGGACGGUUAGAAUAUAUUUGAAUAUAGUGGCUAGCCUCCCUAAGCACUUUUUAAUACAAUUACAUUAAAAUUCAAAACCAUACUUAUGUCAACCAAACAUUCCACCACUUUUACAACAACCCCAUCCAUUAGGUGCAAUUAUAACAAACCACCACUUAUUGAUUACUACCUUUACUCAUUGUUUUCUUUCAAAGUGGUGCUUAUUCUUUUCCUUUUCCAAACACUGCACCUUUUCGUUAUUUCAACGGUUCCACUCAAAAACCAAACUACCACCCCACACUUUUGCUUUUUCAUAAUUUCAAUACCACUAAAGUGUUUAUGGGAGGUACACGGGUUCAAACAGAAGGUUAUUCAAACAAUUGGGUAAAGUUUGCAUUGUGGUUACCAAAGAAACAUGCUUAUAGGCUUGACAGGGUUAACUAAGAUGUAUUAAAAUUAUGUGGGUCUACUUUAUAUGUCUGGCUCAACAAAGAAAUGCCUUUAUCACUUCACAUAUUGAAUGAAACUACUAUUUUGCUUUGAAAACACACGGGACAAGUUCUAGGCAUCAAAUGUGAAUCAUGGAAUACAGUAAAACUCACACACACAUGGCAUAUGACUCAUUCCAAAUUGGCUUAUCAAGACAUUCUCUUCUGAGCAUUCAAGUCGGUGACAAACAUACAAUUUAAAGCACAUUAAUAAGAAUCAACCACUGGAACUAAGUGUUACACUCUAAUGUCUAUUGUGUUCAGGUGUAUCAACGUUAUGAGUUCUCUUUCAAUUGUAGCUUGUAGCCCGUUAAUCCUAACUAACAACUAAAAAGUAACCUAACAAAAACUACCUACACCCUGUUCAAGCUAAACCCUUGGAAAAGAACCGUGGCCCAAAGAAAAACCAAGGGGGAGUUACUACAAUCUAACAAAAAGAUUUAAAAAAUCUUUUUG
rnacentral:lncRNA from 1 species